GACGAACGCUGGCGGCGUGCUUAACACAUGCAAGUCGAACGGAAAGGCCCUGCUUUUGUGGGGUGCUCGAGUGGCGAACGGGUGAGUAACACGUGAGUAACCUGCCCUUGACUUUGGGAUAACUUCAGGAAACUGGGGCUAAUACCGGAUAGGAGCUCCUGCUGCAUGGUGGGGGUUGGAAAGUUUCGGCGGUUGGGGAUGGACUCGCGGCUUAUCAGCUUGUUGGUGGGGUAGUGGCUUACCAAGGCUUUGACGGGUAGCCGGCCUGAGAGGGUGACCGGUCACAUUGGGACUGAGAUACGGCCCAGACUCGUACGGGAGGCAGCAGUGGGGAAUAUUGCACAAUGGGCGGAAGCCUGAUGCAGCAACGCCGCGUGCGGGAUGACGGCCUUCGGGUUGUAAACCGCUUUCGCCUGUGACGAAGCGUGAGUGACGGUAAUGGGUAAAGAAGCACCGGCUAACUACGUG
rnacentral:rRNA from 1 species